GACAUAGGUGGCGAGCGUUAUCCGGAAUUAUUGGGCGUAAAGGGUGCGUAGGUGGCAGAAUAAGUUAUUGGUCAAUGUCAAACUCAAUUUGACGGAAUCUAGUAAUACUAUUCUGCUGGAGGGCAGGAGAAGUUGAUGGAAUUCUGUGUGGAGCGGUGAAAUGCGUUGAUCUACAGAGGAACACCAAAAAAGCGAAGGCAGUCAACUAUUCUGUUCCUGACAUUGAGGCAUGAAAGCGUGGGAGCAAACCGG
rnacentral:rRNA from 1 species